rnacentral:misc_RNA from 1 species
GAUGAAGAACGUAGCGAAAUGCGAUAAGUAAUGUGAAUUGCAGAAUUCAGUGAAUCAUCGAAUCUUUGAACGCACCUUGCGCCCUUUGGCUAUUCUGAAGGGCAUGCCUGUUUGAGUAUCGUGAACACCUCAACUCUCAUGGUCUGCCAUGAUGAGCUUGGACUUUGGGGGUCUUGCUGGCCUACUGUCAGCUCCUCUCAAAUGAAUCAGCUUACCAGUGUUUGGUGGCACCACAGGUGUGAUAACUAUCUACGCUUGUGGUUUUCUGCCAGGUAACCUCCAGUGAUGGAGGUUCGCUGGAGCUCACAAAUGUCUCUCCUCAGCGAGGACAGCUUUUUGAAAGUUUGAUCUCAAAUCAGGUAGGACUACCCGCUGAACUUAAGCAUAUCAAUAAGCGGAGGA